AGAGGAAGAGGAGGCACAGGAAAGAAGCUUUAAAAAAAGAAGAAAAAAAAAAAAGUGGGACCAUUACAAGAUCUUCCAGAAAAACAGCACAAGAAACUUCCUGCGGGCUCUCGUAUAAAAUAUGUCCAGAGAUGGUCUAACAAGGCUUUCACAACUGUCUUUCUAUGCAACAAGAAGCAAUUUUCAUUAUCAUCUGAUGCAAGGCAGCGCUACCCAACACUACAGGUGAAAACUGCUGGCCUU
rnacentral:lncRNA from 1 species